rnacentral:lncRNA from 1 species
AAAAUAGGAGACAUUCUACAUAUUUGCUCUAUUAUGGUAUCUUAAUAAUUGUCACACUUUGCAUCCGUUUUGGUGUGAGUAACGGAUAUUUACUUUUCCAGUACACAAUUGAGACUCAGUUAUCUGGGCCAAGGAAGGGAGCGAACUCUUUCGGAGUGGAUGCUAUAAAUGGUGUUGUCAGCCUGGGAGGAGAAGACACUUUGGACUUUGACAGAGGAUACCAUGUAUUCCAGCUUACAUUGAGAGCAACAGACACCGCAGGCCUGUUCUGCCAAGGGAUGAUAAUUAUCAAGAUUAGAAACAUAAACGACGAAAGGCCUCGAUUUGAGUAACCAUGUUUAUUUCAAAGUUGUAACCACAAUCGUUAAAGUAAACUUUUCACAUAAAUUGUGAAUAAAAAUAAUGAAUAUGUAAGCUGUAUAAGAACAUUUUAUGAUGUUCUGUUAAAACUGUAUGAUUAGAUAUCCAUAAUGCACAUGCUGAUCAAAAGUGAAAUAUGCAUUAGAAAGUACUGCAAAGCAAAUUUGGAAGUGAUUAGCAUGUAACAUGGUUAAAAUUUUUGGUGUGCCUUUUUCUCCCUUUGGUUUCUUUCCCAAAUUUGUUCUAAAGCUCUUACAUUUCUCUUUAAUAGCUACAAUAAUUUUAAAUAAAAACUUGAACUUAAAACAUAGUUUAGAAU